rnacentral:rRNA from 1 species
UACAGAGGGUGCGAGCGUUAAUCGGAAUUACUGGGCGUAAAGCGUGUGCAGGCGGUGAUGUAAGACCGAUGUGAAAUCCCCGGGCUUAACCUGGGAACUGCAUUGGUGACUGCAUUGCUGGAGUAUGGCAGAGGGGGGUGGAAUUCCACGUGUAGCAGUGAAAUGCGUAGAGAUGUGGAGGAACACCGAUGGCGAAGGCAGCCCCCUGGGCCAAUACUGACGCUCAUGCACGAAAGCGUGGGGAGCAAACAGG